rnacentral:rRNA from 1 species
UGGGGAAUCUUGCACAAUGGGCGAAAGCCUGAUGCAGCAACGCCGCGUGCGGGAAGACAGCCCUAGGGUUGUAAACCGCUUUCAGCAGGGAAGAAACUGACGGUACCUGCAGAAGAAGAUGCGGCCAACUACGUGCCAGCAGCCGCGGUGACACGUAGGCAUCAAGCGUUAUCCGGAUUUAUUGGGCGUAAAGAGCUCGUAGGCGGUUCGGUAAGUCGGGUGUGAAAACUCUGGGCUCAACCCAGAGAGGCCACUCGAUACUGCUGUGACUAGAGUGCGGUAGGGGAGCGGGGAAUUCCUGGUGUAGCGGUGAAAUGCGCAGAUAUCAGGAGGAACACCAGUGGCGAAGGCGCUGCUCUGGGCUGUAACUGACGCUGAGGAGCGAAAGCAUGGGUAGCAAACAGGAUUAGAUACCCUGGUAGUCCAUGCCGUAAACGUUGGGCACUAGGUGUGGGUCUCAACCAACGAGAUCCGCGCCGUCGCUAACGCAUUAAGUGCCCGCCUGGGAGUACGGUCGCAAGACUAAAACUCAAAUGAAUUGAC